GCAUGGGUGGCUCAGUCGGUUAAGCAACUGACUUCGGCUCAGGUCAUGAUCUCACAGUUUGUGGGUUCAAGCCCCAUGUCAGGCU
rnacentral:tRNA from 1 species